rnacentral:siRNA from 1 species
UCAACCGUGAUGCCUGUUUUGUGC